rnacentral:rRNA from 1 species
UGGCUCAGAUUGAACGCUGGCGGCAGGCCUAACACAUGCAAGUCGAACGGUAACAGGAAGCAGCUUGCUGCUUUGCUGACGAGUGGCGGACGGGUGAGUAAUGUCUGGGAAACUGCCUGAUGGAGGGGGAUAACUACUGGAAACGGUGGCUAAUACCGCAUAACGUCGCAAGACCAAAGAGGGGGACCUUCGGGCCUCUUGCCAUCAGAUGUGCCCAGAUGGGAUUAGCUUGUUGGUGAGGUAACGGCUCACCAAGGCGACGAUCCCUAGCUGGUCUGAGAGGAUGACCAGCCACACUGGAACUGAGACACGGUCCAGACUCCUACGGGAGGCAGCAGUGGGGAAUAUUGCACAAUGGGCGCAAGCCUGAUGCAGCCAUGCCGCGUGUAUGAAGAAGGCCUUCGGGUUGUAAAGUACUUUCAGCGGGGAGGAAGGUGUUGUGGUUAAUAACCGCAGCAAUUGACGUUACCCGCAGAAGAAGCACCGGCUAACUCCGUGCCAGCAGCCGCGGUAAUACGGAGGGUGCAAGCGUUAAUCGGAAUUACUGGGCGUAAAGCGCACGCAGGCGGUCUGUCAAGUCGGAUGUGAAAUCCCCGGGCUCAACCUGGGAACUGCAUUCGAAACUGGCAGGCUUGAGUCUUGUAGAGGGGGGUAGAAUUCCAGGUGUAGCGGUGAAAUGCGUAGAGAUCUGGAGGAAUACCGGUGGCGAAGGCGGCCCCCUGGACAAAGACUGACGCUCAGGUGCGAAAGCGUGGGGAGCAAACAGGAUUAGAUACCCUGGUAGUCCACGCCGUAAACGAUGUCUACUUGGAGGUUGUGCCCUUGAGGCGUGGCUUCCGGAGCUAACGCGUUAAGUAGACCGCCUGGGGAGUACGGCCGCAAGGUUAAAACUCAAAUGAAUUGACGGGGGCCCGCACAAGCGGUGGAGCAUGUGGUUUAAUUCGAUGCAACGCGAAGAACCUUACCUGGUCUUGACAUCCACAGAAGAAUCCAGAGAUGGAUUUGUGCCUUCGGGAACUGUGAGACAGGUGCUGCAUGGCUGUCGUCAGCUCGUGUUGUGAAAUGUUGGGUUAAGUCCCGCAACGAGCGCAACCCUUAUCCUUUGUUGCCAGCGGUUAGGCCGGGAACUCAAAGGAGACUGCCAGUGAUAAACUGGAGGAAGGUGGGGAUGACGUCAAGUCAUCAUGGCCCUUACGACCAGGGCUACACACGUGCUACAAUGGCGCAUACAAAGAGAAGCGACCUCGCGAGAGCAAGCGGACCUCAUAAAGUGCGUCGUAGUCCGGAUUGGAGUCUGCAACUCGACUCCAUGAAGUCGGAAUCGCUAGUAAUCGUGGAUCAGAAUGCCACGGUGAAUACGUUCCCGGGCCUUGUACACACCGCCCGUCACACCAUGGGAGUGGGUUGCAAAAGAAGUAGGUAGCUUAACCUUCGGGAGGGCGCUUACCACUUUGUGAUUCAUGACUGGGGUGAAGUCGUAACAAGGUAACCGUAGGGGAACCUGC